UUGGCAGCUACUUGUGAUCUCCAUACCGGAGAACACUGCUGUCUGGUUUUGUUCAUUGCAGAAGUCUCCUCCCAGCCCUCUUAGACAUGUAGUAGAUUGUUCCCUUGCAACACAUAUGAUGUUAUCUGGGAGAUCUACUGCUACAGCUAAAAAGCUUGCAUGGGUUGCCCUUAAGUGUAAUAUACAAACGGGGUCAUAUGAAUGUGGUUACUACGUCAUGUUUUGGAUGAUGACCAUUAUUCGUGCACAUUACACCAGUGGAUGGGAAACAG